rnacentral:rRNA from 1 species
GAUGAACGCUGGCGGCGUGCCUAAUACAUGCAAGUCGUACGGAAAGGCCCUUCGGGGUACUCGAGUGGCGGACGGCUGAGUAACGCGUGGGAACGUGCCCCAAAGUGAGGGAUAACGCACCGAAAGGUGUGCUAAUACCGCAUAUGGUCUUCGGAUUAAAGCUUCGGCGCUUUGGGAGCGGCCCGCGUACGAUUAGAUAGUUGGUGAGGUAAUGGCUCACCAAGUCGACGAUCGUUAGCUGGUCUGAGAGGAUGAUCAGCCAGACUGGGACUGAGACACGGCCCAGACUCCUACGGGAGGCAGCAGUAAGGAAUCUUCUACAAUGGGGGCAACCUUGAUGGAGCAACGCCGCGUGCAGGAUGAAGGUUUUCGGAUCGUAAACUGCUUUUAUAAGUGAAGAAUAUGACGGUAACUUAUGAAUAAGGAUCGGCUAACUACGUGCCAGCAGCCGCCGUAA